GACGAACGCUGGCGGCGUGCUUAACACAUGCAAGUCGAACGGAAAGGCCCUGCUUUUGUCGGGUGCUCGAGUGGCGAACGGGUGAGUAACACGUGAGUAACCUGCCCUUGACUUUGGGAUAACUUCAGGAAACUGGGGCUAAUACCGGAUAGGAGCUCCUGCUGCAUGGUGGGGGUUGGAAAGUUUCGGCGGUUGGGGAUGGACUCGCGGCUUAUCAGCUUGUUGGUGGGGUAGUGGCUUACCAAGGCUUUGACGGGUAGCCGGCCUGAGAGGGUGACCGGCCACAUUGGGACUGAGAUACGGCCCAGACUCCUACGGGAGGCAGCAGUGGGGAAUAUUGCACAAUGGGCGGAAGCCUGAUGCAGCAACGCCGCGUGCGGGAUGACGGCCUUCGGGUUGUAAACCGCUUUCGCCUGUGACGAAGCGUGAGUGACGGUAAUGGGUAAAGAAGCACCGGCUAACUACG
rnacentral:rRNA from 1 species